rnacentral:tRNA from 1 species
GGUCGCUUAGCUCAGUUGGUUAGAGCGUGGUGCUAAUAGCUGCUUCCGCUAUGAUACGCCAAGGUCGCGAGUUCGACCCUCGUAGUGACCA